rnacentral:rRNA from 1 species
CCUACGGGGGGCAGCAGUGGGGAAUAUUGCACAAUGGGGGAAACCCUGAUGCAGCGACGCCGCGUGGGUGAAGAAGCGCCUCGGCGCGUAAAGCCCUGUCAGCAGGGAAGAAAAUGACGGUACCUGAAGAAGAAGCCCCGGCUAACUACGUGCCAGCAGCCGCGGUAAUACGUAGGGGGCAAGCGUUAUCCGGAUUUACUGGGUGUAAAGGGAGCGUAGGCGGCGAUGCAAGUCAGAAGUGAAAGCCCGGGGCUCAACUCCGGGACUGCUUUUGAAACUGUAUGGCUAGAUUGCAGGAGAGGCAA